UUACGGGAGGCAGCAGUGGGGAAUAUUGCACAAUGGGCGCAAGCCUGAUGCAGCGACGCCGCGUGAGGGAUGACGGCCUUCGGGUUGUAAACCUCUUUCAGUAGGGAAGAAGCGAGAGUGACGGUACCUGCAGAAGAAGCGCCGGCUAACUACGUGCCAGCAGCCGCGGUAAUACGUAGGGCGCAAGCGUUAUCCGGAUUUAUUGGGCGUAAAGAGCUCGUAGGCGGUUUGUCGCGUCUGCCGUGAAAGUCCGAGGCUCAACCUCGGAUCUGCGGUGGGUACGGGCAGACUAGAGUGAUGUAGGGGAGACUGGAAUUCCUGGUGUAGCGGUGAAAUGCGCAGAUAUCAGGAGGAACACCGAUGGCGAAGGCAGGUCUCUGGGCAUUUACUGACGCUGAGGAGCGAAAGCAUGGGGAGCGAACAGGAUUAGAUACCCUGGUAGA
rnacentral:rRNA from 1 species